GUUCACCAAGAAUACCCCACCAGCAAAUGGGCUGUCUGAGGGUCCCAUAAUAGUAGCUUGCCAAUGGAACAUGUCCUCACCCACAGGACCUGCGCUGCAUGAGGUGGGAGGGUCCUUCUGCAGGUCCUUCAACUCCUUCAGGAUCCUCUUGGACGCCAUCGAUCAAACCCGACCGGCGACGGGGCGCUCCGGCGAGGGGGGGGGUCAGUGGUAGCGGCGGCCGGCGG
rnacentral:misc_RNA from 1 species